rnacentral:misc_RNA from 1 species
AAAAAAAAAAAAAAAACCAUGAAUAAAGUCCUGCAGCAAACCUAACAAAUUUGCAUGCUAAUGGCAAAUCUAUGAAAACAUUGUGAGCACAAAGCAUUAUGCUAAAAAUAAUGCCAAAAGCCACUGGUUCUAAUGUUUUAGUAUAGAUAUGGCCCUGACAGACUAUAAUAAUAAAUAUGUUAAAGUUCCAAUGAAUAAGCAAAGAUACAUAAUAUACUAGAUGGUUUGAUAUGGGUUUAUUAGCAAAGAAAAAAAAACUUGGUAGCAUUGCAUCAGCAAUCGCCAACCUCAUUUGAUAGAAAUUAAUUUUUUUUCUCAAACCAAGCAUUGUUUACUUUUCCUUGCACAACAAUUUCUUAUUGUCAACUAUGAAAAACUUUGAUGGCUAUAAAUAUGUUUCACUUUCCUAAAAAUACAAUUCAAGCCAUAUAUAGUUUCAUAUGUUCAAAGAUUUUACAAACCAACGAAAUGGUAAAAUCAUAAUAUCAAAUUUUCACAAACUUGUUAGCAACUGUAUAAGCACAACAUUGCCCACAUACUAACACAAUGUAUCAUAACCAAUCACUUUUACUUUAUGGAAUAUCAAUAAAAUUAAAAUGGGUAAAAGGACAUGAAGUUUACAUACUUUUAGAAAGAAGAACAAAAAAUAGAUUUCGACGACACAACAUGCAUGAUAAGUAAUGUCAUAUAACCAAGACCAGUGCGCAUCACAAGGAGAGGAGAAAAUGAAGAACUGACCAUGGGACAGUAAUUUCAUAAGGAAAAUAGAUUGCAUUCUUAGAUAUGAGGGAAGCUUCUGUUGGAAUUCCGAGUCCAAAUAGAGUUAGGAUUUGAAGUUAAAUCUAGUUGGGAAGAUUUUAG